rnacentral:rRNA from 1 species
CAGUAGCCGCGGGAAUACGUAGGGUGCGAGCGUUAAUCGGAAUUACUGGGCGUAAAGCGUGCGCAGGCGGUUCGUUAAGACAGAUGUGAAAUCCCCGGGCUCAACCUGGGAACUGCAUUCGUGACUGGCAAGCUAGAGUAUGGCAGAGGGGGGUGGAAUUCCACGUGUAGCAGUGAAAUGCGUAGAGAUGUGGAGGAACACCGAUGGCGAAGGCAGCCCCCUGGGCCAAUACUGACGCUCAUGCACGAAAGCGUGGGGAGCAAACAGGAUUAGAUACCCCCGUAGUCCCUGUCUCUUAUAC